CCUACGGGAGGCUGCAGUGGGGAAUAUUGCGCAAUGGGCGAAAGCCUGACGCAGCGACGCCGCGUGAGGGAUGAAGGUCUUCGGAUCGUAAACCUCUGUCAGCAGGGAAGAACGGUCACUGUGCUAAUCAGCAGUGAAUUGACGGUACCUGCAAAGGAAGCACCGGCUAACUCCGUGCCAGCAGCCGCGGUAAUACGGAGGGUGCGAGCGUUAAUCGGAAUUACUGGGCGUAAAGCGCUCGUAGGCGGUAUGUCAAGUCAAGGGUGAAAUACCCGCGCUCAACGUGGGAACUGCCUUUGAAACGGGUAAUCGGGAGUGUGUGAGAGGAUAGUGGAAUUCCAGGUGUAUGAGUGAAAUCCGGAGAUAUCUGGAGGAACAUCAGUGGCGAAGGCGACUAUCUGGCACAUAACUGACGCUGAGGAGCGAAAGCGUGGGUAGCAAACAGGAUUAGAUACCCCUGGAGUG
rnacentral:rRNA from 1 species